GGCCAAAUAGGAACCAAAAUGAGGCAUUUUGAUAGAUGACCAACAGUACAUGGUUUUGUAUUUUUCUGAAAGGAGGUGUCUUUCUUUGGAUAUGAUUUAUUGAGACUGUGAUGUUAAUAUUCUUGAUUUCUUGGAAUUGUCUUUAACAUCUGUCGAUGCCAAGAUGGGAAGAUCUACAGGUACAGUGGACGAGAGGAUGGAAUUGGAUAUCUUGGUUUGUAGGAAUUUGAUCGAAGAUGCGUUAGAACGAAUCAAUGAUAUUGUUCCUUCCAGGGAUCCACCGUGUCCAUUUGUUAUGGAAGGUGGUUAUAUCACAGAUGACAAUACUAUGGAUCCUGAACUCAUGUCUUUGCCGUUGGAAAGACGAGGAUAAAAUUUUCUGGAGGAUGGAUCACAAAGGCGAGAGAAAUAUACUCGACAUCCAUGUAGGUAUCUAGAUACCUACGGUGUCGACCUGAAAUGAAGGCAUUGUUCCUCGAUCACGUAGCUAUAUAGUUACGAGAUUCUAACUUUCACGUAUCACUGUCAUCGCAUUAGCUCUUUGCGAAUUCUUUUUUUUUUUUGUUUUUGUUAUUUAUAAACGUGGAAAAGAAAGAAAGAGCUGUUAUAAGUAAAAGUCCUCUUAUGAAUA